rnacentral:tRNA from 1 species
AGCAGCGUGGCUCAGUGGAAGAGCACAGACUUGGGAGUCAAAGGUCAUGGGUUCUAAUCCUGCCUCUGCUG